CACAGGGCGUGCAAACGUUUUUCAUCGCUAUUGGGUGUAAAGGAUACGUAGACUGUUUUGGAUUGGAUUUCUUGUAAAAUGCUAGAGAAAAACCUUUAGACCGACAAGAAUUACCCAAAAACUAGAGUUUGGAAUAAGUUGAGAGAAUUUCUUGUGUAGGGGUAGAAUCCCGACAUAUUGGAAGGACUGCCGUAACAGUUGGGAAACCGCUUCUCUAAAACAAACUGACGUUGAGGUAUGAAAGGAUAGGUAUCAAACAGG
rnacentral:rRNA from 1 species